rnacentral:rRNA from 1 species
GACGAACCGUCCAAACGUUAUUCGGAAUUACUGGGCUUAAAGGGUGCGUAGGCGGCGCAGAAAGUAGGGUGUGAAAUCCCUCGGCUCAACCGAGGAACUGCGCCCUAAACUACUGUGCUUGAGGAAGAUAGAGGUGAGCGGAACUUAGGGUGGAGCGGUGAAAUGCGUUGAUAUCCUAAGGAACACCGGUGGCGAAGGCGGCUCACUGGAUCUUUUCUGACGCUGAGGCACGAAAGCUAGGGGAGCGAACGGG